GCUGGGCGAGGGGUACAUGCCUGUAGUCCCAGCUACUCGGGAGGCUGAGGCUGGAGGAUUGCUUGAGUACAGGAGUUCUGGGCUAUAGUGUGCUAUGCCGAUCGGGUGUCCGCACUAAGUUCAGCAUCAAUAUGGUAAACUCCUGGGACCAGGGGACCACCAGGUUGCCUAAGGAGGGGUGAACUGGCCCAGGUUGGAAACGGAGCAGGUCAAAACUCCCGUGCUGAUCAAUAGUGGAAUAGCCACUGCACUCCAGCCUGGGCAACAUAGUGAGACCCCAUCCCUA
ensembl:misc_RNA Metazoa_SRP Metazoan signal recognition particle RNA